UACGGGGGGGCGAAGCAGUUGUUCGGUGAAUUACUGGGCGUAAAGGGCGCGUAGGCGGCCUGCUAAGUCGGACGUGAAAUCCCUCGGCUCAACCCGGGAACUGCGUCCGAUACUGGCAGGCUUGAAUCCGGGAGAGGGAUGUGGAAUUCCAGGUGUAGCGGUGAAAUGCGUAGAGAUCCGGAGGAACACCGAAGGCGAAGGCAGUCUCCUGGCAAGUUACUGACGCUCAGGUGCGAAAGCUAGGGGAGCGAACAGG
rnacentral:rRNA from 1 species